AGGAAAUAGGAGAAAGCAAAAUACUGAGGUUAGAGACCCAAUCCACGAGUUAGAGUAAAAGAAGCUAGAGUAGAGACCCAAUCCACUGAAAUUGGUGAAGCAAAAUUAAUUUUGAUGGGACAAAGAUGCGGGAGCAAAAUAAUGAAGCAAAGGCUUAUCAUUUUUCAUCUUUAUCUACCAUCUACACCACAAAUUUGCAAUGUUUUCAUCUUCUACAAUCUACUGAAUUCAUUAGGGAACAAGAUGACGAGGACAUUACUUUUUUAUUUUUGUCCCAAAUUUGAGGCAAAGGAUAAAAUGUUAUGGACUUGGGAAUUUAAUGGUCAAUAUUGUGUAGCUUCAUUUGUAAUCGUCAUCAAGCUUCAUAUGGUCUCUCAAAAAAGGAAGAAAGUUAUAGACAUUAUCGUAGUGAGAACAAUGCACCAGGUGUAGGCCUAUAAGGAGAUAAAGGAGUACUCAAUUAACAACUUCAUUACUUGCAUAGAUCAGGUUUGAAGCUCUUGAAAAGGAAUUCAACAAACUGUGAUUACAAGAAUAGAAACACCAGUGGAUAUGUUUACAUGUUGGGAGGUAUGAUGAAUCAUGGAGCUCUUCAGAGAGCAUUGUAGCAAAACUCGAAGCCAUUGUGAGGAAAUCAGCAUUUUUAGCAUUUUCGUUUUU